rnacentral:rRNA from 1 species
AUUGAACGCUGGCGGCAUGCUUUACACAUGCAAGUCGAACGGUAACAGGCCUUCGGGUGCUGACGAGUGGCGCACGGGUGCGUAAUGCAUCGGAACGUGCCCAGAGGUGGGGGAUAACGCAGCGAAAGCUGUGCUAAUACCGCAUGUGAUCUGAGGAUGAAAGCGGGGGACCAGGCAGCAAUGUUUGGCCUCGCGCCUUUGGAGCGGCCGAUGUCAGAUUAGGUAGUUGGUGGGGUAAAGGCCUACCAAGCCGACGAUCUGUAGCUGGUCUGAGAGGACGACCAGCCACACUGGGACUGAGACACGGCCCAGACUCCUACGGGAGGCAGCAGUGGGGAAUUUUGGACAAUGGGCGCAAGCCUGAUCCAGCAAUGCCGCGUGCGGGAAGAAGGCCUUCGGGUUGUAAAACGCUUUUGUACGGAACGAAAAGGCUCUGGCUAAUACCUGGGGCUGAUGACGGUACCGGAAGAAUAAGCACCGGCUAACUACGUG